rnacentral:rRNA from 1 species
AAUAUUUGACAAUGGGCGAAAGCCUGAUCCAGCCAUGCCGCGUGUGUGAAGAAGGUCUUCGGAUUGUCCAGCACUUUAAGUUGGGAGGAAGGGCAGUAAGUUAAUACCUUGCUGUUUUGACGUUACCGACAGAAUAAGCACCUGCUAACUUCGUGCCAGCAGCCGCGGUAAUACGAAGGGUGCAAGCGUUAAUCGGAAUUACUGGGCGUAAAGCGCGCGUAGGUGGUUCAGUAAGAUGGAAGUGAAAGCCCAGGGCUCAACCUGGGAACUGCUUUCAAAACUGGCAAGCUAGAGUAUGGCAGAGGGUGGUGGAAUUUCCUGUGUAGCGGUGAAAUGCGUAGAUAUAGGAAGGAACACCAGUGGCGAAGGCGACUACCUGGACUGAUACUGACACUGAGGUGCGAAAGCGUGGGGAGCAAACAGG